UAUUUAUUAAUUUUCUUUUCAGUAAAACACAGAACUACAUGAAAGUAAACAAAGAAAAUCUCUUGCAUGUAUCAAGAGAUCUUAACAAUGCUCACACAAUUGAUACAUAAUAACAGUACCAUCUUUUUAUUCAAUUGAAUAUAACACAAAACAGCAACGUUGCUUGCACUUAACCACUGUAGUCAGGAUUCCUCCCGUAUUGAGGGACAACAAGAAGAUCAAGAUCAUUCACGAUGUCAUCAUCACCAGCACUACAAAAAAUUCCGAAACCCUCCGACCAAUUGCUCUUACCUGAAAGUUUCAUAUUAGAAAAUAAAUAUUCAUAAAUGCAUAUAUUAAAAUAAGAGCUAUAAAUGAUAUCCAACUGAAAUUAGCCUAUAAACCUGCACAAGUAGUUUCCAUGAUCUUCAAAAUCAGAAAGAUCUCUGUUUCCGGAAUCAAAACUCAAAAAGUAAUCAAUAGUUGCUUUUGCGAGUUCU
rnacentral:lncRNA from 1 species